UUCUGAGUUGUCCAGUUGCGUGCAGA
rnacentral:piRNA from 1 species